UGUUGUGCCGAAUUCUGCACCCCCGCCGUAAAAUGCACCCCCUGUCGGGAGCGCGCUUACGUCACUCGGUUGCAUCACCCGUCUCGAAAAGUAGCUAAACUCGGCUAAAAUCGCCUCUUUCGGCAUAAAAAUGUACAUAACAAGGUGAAUAAUCCAAGUUGUCCUUACUUUGGAUAUAUUAAUGGAUGGAUUAAUUGUGAUUCUUUAAUGAUUUCGCCGCCAUUGCCUUUAAUGAUUUCGUCGUCAUUCAAUCGCCUCUUUCGGCAGAAAAAUGUACAUAACAAGGUGAAUAAUCCAAGUUGUCUUUACUUUGGAUAUAUUAAUGGAUGGAUUAAUUGUGAUUCUUCAAUGAUUUCGCCGUCAUUGCCUUUAAUGAUUUCGUCGUCAUUCAGAGACAUCAAGGAGAACGAAUGUUUGCUGCUUCACUCGACGGGAUCCAAUACAUGUAUUUUAAAAAUAUGACAUUUUCUUUAACUGUAAGAAGCUCAUGGGUGGAUGGAUGAAUACAUUAAUAAAUGAAUGCAUCUGA